ensembl:lncRNA
UAUGUGUGUCUGUGGGUCUAUGUGUGUCUGUGGGUCUACAGGUCUAUGUGUGUCUGUGGGUCUAUGUGUGUCUGUGGGUCUACAGGUCUAUGUGUGUCUGUGGGUCUAUGUGUGUCUGUGGGUCUACAGGUCUAUGUGUGUCUGUGGGUCUAUGUGUGUCUGUGGGUCUACAGGUCUAUGUGUGUCUGUGGGUCUAUGUGUUUCUGUGGGUCUACAGGUCUAUGUGUCUCUGUGGGUCUACAGGUCUAUGUGUGUCUGUGGGUCUACAGGUCUAUGUGUUUCUGUGGGUCUAUGGGUCUACAGGUCUAUGUGUGUCUGUGGGUCUACAGGUCUAUGUGUGUCUGUGGGUCUACAGGUCUAUGUGUGUCUGUGGGUCUACAGGUCUAUGUGUGUCUGUGGG